GCCUGUGUAGCUUAGGGGUAGAGCAUUGGUCUCAUAGAAAGUAUGAUCUUGAAGUCCUUAACUUUAAGAGACAUCCAAGUACGACGGUUCGAUUCCGCCCACGGGCA